rnacentral:rRNA from 1 species
CAGUAGCCACGGGAAUACGUAGGUGGCAAGCGUUGUCCGGAAUUAUUGGGCGUAAAGGGCUCGCAGGCGGUUUCUUAAGUCUGAUGUGAAAGCCCCCGGCUCAACCGGGGAGGGUCAUUGGAAACUGGGAAACUUGAGUGCAGAAGAGGAGAGUGGAAUUCCACGUGUAGCGGUGAAAUGCGUAGAGAUGUGGAGGAACACAAGUGGCGAAGGCGACUCUCUGGUCUGUAACUGACGCUGAGGAGCGAAAGCGUGGGGAGCGAACAGGAUUAGAUACCCGCGUAGUCCCUGUCUCUUAUAC